GGAGUUAGCCGGUGCUUCUUCUGUGAGUGAUGUCCUUCCUGCCGGCUAUUAACCCGCAGGCCUUCUUCCUCACUGAAAGUGCUUUACAACCCGAAGGCCUUCUUCACACACGCGGCAUGGCUGGAUCAGGGUUGCCCCCAUUGUCCAAUAUUCCCCACUGCUGCCUCCCGUAGGAGUCUGGGCCGUGUCUCAGUCCCAGUGUGGCUGAUCAUCCUCUCAGACCAGCUACGGAUCGUCGCCUUGGUGAGCCGUUACCUCACCAACCAGCUAAUCCGACAUAGGCUCAUCCGAUAGCGCGAGGCCCGAAGGUCCCCCGCUUUCCCCCGUAGGGCGUAUGCGGUAUUAGCCUGGGUUUCCCCAGGUUAUCCCCCACUACCGGGCAGAUUCCUAUGCAUUACUCACCCGUCCGCCGCUCGCCACCAGGGAGCAAGCUCCCCGUGCUGCCGCUCGACUUGCAUGUGUUAGGCCUGCCGCCAGCGUUCAAUCUGAGCCAUANCAACACUGACUGNGNGGCG
rnacentral:rRNA from 1 species